rnacentral:other from 2 species
AUUUCUCUGAGAUGUUUGCAAGCGGGCCAGUCCCCUGAGCCGAUAUUUCAUACCACAAGAAUGUGGCGCUCCGCGGUUGGUGAGCAUACUCGGUUCGUCCGAGAAGCCUUAAAACUGUGACGACACAUUCACCUUGAACCAAGGGUUCAAGGGUUACAGCCUGCGGCGGCAUCUCGGAGAUUCC